AUUGAACGCUGGCGGCAGGCCUAACACAUGCAAGUCGAGCGGAUGAAGGGAGCUUGCUCCUGGAUUCAGCGGCGGACGGGUGAGUAAUGCCUAGGAAUCUGCCUGGUAGUGGGGAUAACGUCCGGAAACGGGCGCUAAUACCGCCUACGUCCUGAGGGAUAAAGUGGGGGAUCUUCGGACCUCACGCUAUCAGAUGAGCCUAGGUCGGAUUAGCUAGUUGGUGGGGUAAAGGCCUACCAAGGCGACGAUCCGUAACUGGUCUGAGAGGAUGAUCAGUCACACUGGAACUGGGACACGGUCCAGACUCCUACGGGAGGCAGCAGUGGGGAAUAUUGGACAAUGGGCGAAAGCCUGAUCCAGCCAUGCCGCGUGUGUGAAGAAGGUCUUCGGAUUGUAAAGCACUUUAAGUUGGGAGGAAGGGCAGUAAGUUAAUACCUUGCUGUUUUGACGUUACCAACAGAAUAAGCACCGGCUAACUUCGUG
rnacentral:rRNA from 1 species